GGUGUGGCUCAGUUGGUAGAGCGCCUGGUUUGGGACCAGGAUGCCGCAGGUUCGAAUCCUGUCACU
rnacentral:tRNA from 1 species